GAGUUUCUUUGCAACAGACGGGACAAUAAUCUCCUCUCCCAGUCAAUCGUCUAAUCACACAUCAGUCAUCGUCGUCAUUUAAAACCUGAACCGGCAUCUAUAGCCCGUUCCCGGCCCAGGUGUGAACCCCAGGAACGGCUGGGGGAAGUAUGCGAGCUUCCCAGCGCUCAUCUAUGUCCCGAUUAAAUGCACUCCGAGGAUGGGAUGGGAGAAAGAAGGGCAGCGAGCACCCUCUCUCCUGGGGUGGAGGUAGUCUUCAAACACAGGUUAUUAGCAGGAGCCAGUGGGAGUGCUUUUGGGAAACCAUGGGGAUCUGAACACAGACAUCAGAUCAGAGGGGGAAUUACAGUAAAAGCGGUUUAUCUUUUUGGCAUCCUGACAACCAGCCCUGGGGUGCAGGACCCGAGAAAUGAUAAUGGAUGCUGCCGCUGCUGACACAGGUCCCCGGAUGCUGCAGGCUUCUGACUCAUCUCUGAAAAUUGAAGUGACCUCCUGCAGCUGUAGCCUGGAGUAUUUCUUACCAAAACCCAGCCUUUGAAAAUCGGCUGUGUGCCUACCUGGAUACUUUGCUCCAGCGAGGAUUUGAUUAUCCGGGACAUUCAUUCUGGCUUAGAACGGAUGACUACAAGAGAAAAUCAAGGGGACUCUUCUUGCUCUCCGUGUGUUUUGUCCUUGUGCACUGUACUAUCCCAUUUGCUGUCACUAUAAUGAAAUACCCGAGGCCAGGUGGUUUAUAAAGAACAGGGGGUUACAUAGCUCACAGUGUGGGUGGCAGAAGGUCCAGAUUCAUGGCCCCGGCUCUGUUGGGCUCUGUUGAGGGGCUCCUGGGCUGUGUCACAUCAAAAUGAAUGGCAUUAGGGCUGGUGCUGUGUCAUAGUGGGUCAAGCCUCAAUCUGCGGUGCCCAGCAUCCUCUAUGGGCGCCAGCUUGUAUCCCAGCUGCUCCUCUUCUGAUCCAGCUUCCUGCUAUGGCCUGGGAGAGCAGUAUAAGAUGGCCCAACUCCUUGGGCCCUUGCACCUGUGUGGAAGACCCAGAAGAAGCUCCUGGCUCCUGGCUUUGGAUUGGCCCAGUUCUGGCCAUUGUGGCCAUUUGAAGAGUGAACCAGCAGAUGAAAGACUUUUCUCUCUGUCCCUCUGUCUGUAACUCUACCUCUCAAACAAAUAAAAAAUCUUUAAAAAAAAUGAAUGGCGUAAA